rnacentral:lncRNA from 1 species
CUCACCGCCCUGAACUGUAUUAUAGAGAAGGCCUCACCGCCCCUGACCUGUAUUAUAGAGAAGACUCCUCACCGCCCCUAACCUGUAUUAUAGAGAAGACUCCUCACCGCCCUGAACUGUAUUAUAGAGAAGACUCCUCACCGCCCCAACCUGUAUUAUAGAGAAGACUCCUCACCACCCCUGAACUGUAUUAUAGAGAAGACUCCUCACCGCCCCUGAACUGUAUUAUAGAGAAGGCUCCUCACCGCCCCUGACCUGUAUUAUAGAGAAGGCUCCUCACCGCCCCAACCUGUAUUAUAGAGAAGGCUCCUCACCGCCCCUGACCUGUAUUAUAGAGAAGGCUCCUCACCACCCCUGACCUGUAUUAUAGAGAAGGCUCCUCACCACCCCUGACCUGUAUUAUAGAGAAGACUCCUCACCGCCCCUAACCUGUAUUAUAGAGAAGACUCCUCACCACCCCUGAACUGUAUUAUAGAGAAGACUCCUCACCGCCCCUGACCUGUAUUAUAGAGAAGACUCCUCACCACCCCUGACCUGUAUUAUAGAGAAGACUCCUCACCACCCCUGACCUGUAUUAUAGAGAAGGCUCCUCACC